rnacentral:rRNA from 1 species
UACGGAGGGUGCGAGCGUUGUCCGGAAUCACUGGGCGUAAAGGGCGCGUAGGCGGCCUGAUAAGUAGGGGGUGAAAUCCUGCGGCUUAACCGCAGGGCUGCCUUCUAAACUGUCAGGCUCGAGCACAGUAGAGGCAGGUGGAAUUCCCGGUGUAGCGGUGGAAUGCGUAGAGAUCGGGAAGAACAUCAGUGGCGAAGGCGGCCUGCUGGGCUGUUGCUGACGCUGAGGCGCGACAGCGUGGGGAGCGAACCGG